GGCACACUCACUUUUUUGAAAUUCGCAAAUCAUGUGAACGCUUUGGAAAUAGAAUCUGAUCUCACCAAUUUAUUGGCAUGGCUACUGUUUGGUAAGCUCUAAUUGUAAAAGAGAUUCCAUCCAUAACUGCCUAACUAGUGGGGAUGGCAUGUUCCUCACGCCACGCUCUUCUGGUUUGGUGCUUUCUCUUUCCCAUUUUAAAAAAUAAUUUGACAUCAUUGAGAGAAAAUGCAGAUCAAAGAGGUGUGAAACCUACUGUCAACAAUACGGGAAACUUUAAUAUUGCCUUCCAUACUUAGUGGGGUCAAAGUAGGGCAACUUCAAAUCAGCCGACUGCAACCUAGAUUCGCGCGGCCAAUAAUUUUGUAACCCAUUUCCCAACUCUACAGAAAUCAAAACCAGAGUGAGCAAAACUAUGAUGGGUCAUUGCUCUGAAAUCUCAUCGUGACAUUAUAGUUAUUUUAUGGAAUCUAAUGUAAUGGGGAUUUAAUAUAUCAUGAAAAAGUUGUGGGGUUAUUGAGGCUCGAUAGGAGUAAAAUGCAAGGUGAAAACUUUAGUGCAAUGGCUUUGGCAUUGCAUUCAUCAUCAGAAACAGGACAAUUGAAGAAAAAAGACGAGAGAAUCCCUCAAUGGAGUUUCCACGAGACCAAGGAAUUCAUCGCCAUUAGAGCAGAGCUUGAAAAAGAUUUUACUCAGACGAAAAGAAAUAAAACCCUCUGGGAGAUCAUUGCAGGAAAAAUGAAGGACAAGGGCUUCCGAAGAAGUGCAGAACAAUGCAAAUGCAAAUGGAAAAAUCUUGUCAACCGCUAUAAGGGAAAAGAAACCUCAGAAUCUGACAAUGGAAGACAAUGCCCUUUCUUUGAAGAACUGGAUUCAAUUUUUAAAGAGCGUGAGAGAAAUAUGGAUAGAUUGCUAUUGGAAUCAGAGUCUGGAGUGAGACCCAAACAGAAAGUAAGGAAACUGAAACGUUUAUUGGCUGAAAAAUCUUCUGAUGAUUACUCAGAAGAUGAGGAGGAUGAAGAGGAGGACAGCGAAGAUGAGAAGAUUGUCAAGAGAAAGAAAAGGAGGGCAGAUAAAGAAAGACAGAGAAUUACAGCUGAUAAAUACCGUGCAAAUAGUAUGCAAGAGGUGCUUGAAGAUUUCUUCCAUCAACAACAGAGGUUUGAGGAGCAAUGGAGAGAGGGAAUGGAGGUGAGAGAGCAAGAGAGGAGAUUAAGGGAACGGGAAUGGAGAGAGACAAUGGAAAAAUUAGAAGCAGAACGGGUCAUGAAAGAACAAGCUUGGCGUGAGAGGGAAGAUCAAAGACGAGCUCGAGAAGAAGCGAAGGCUGAUAGAAGAGAUGAGCUCUUUGCUGCUUUAAUUAACAAACUCUAUCAAGAAGAAGGAGUAGUACAGGUCCAGAAUCAGAGGCUGUCUUUGUUGUGAGGAUUUAUUUCGUACAUGCAAGAAAUCUAUCUCAAUCGCAUUUGGAAUUGAAGAAACAAUUGGUCCCGUAAUUAAGCCUCACAAGUGAUUGAAGUCUUGUCCUAAAUAUUGCCUCAGAAGCUACUCUGGAUAUAGAUAGAAAAGGCAACAGCUAUGAGUCAGAGAUGUACGCUUGGUAUACAGGGAUUCCAAGGCUUCUUUUAUCCCAGAGGUUGGUCACAAAAUUGAAACCUAAGGGGUAAAAGAUUAAACUACACAGUUAAGGCAAACUGUAAACAUUUAUCGCAAAGGCUGAGUUGAGGUAUUAGCUAGGCCACAACACCAAAAGAUCACCUUUAACUUUUGCUUGUUUCAACAUCUACACAAUAUGCUCUAAUCAUUAGCUCAUUUUAUAUUACCAUCUAUAUUUCGAGAGGUUUAAGAUAUGAGGUGCUAGCAGAAGAUGCUUUAUACAUUAUUUAAGAUAACCUUAUUUGUAACAAAAAUCAUGAAUGAAAAUAACUGUAACGAUUAUGUAGUAGGCAUUGAUUUCACUUGUGAAAUAAGUAAAGAUUAAAAAGAUAGUUGAUAAGUUCAACUUACUUCAAGGCUUA